UGUUAUAUGACUGCAUGAUGAUAUCUUGAUCACCUAUGCCUUUAUUGAUGGAAAAUAACACCCCUCAAAGUACUCUCCAUAUAUUUAUGGGUGUUUUUCAGGAGUGGAAGACACCACUGUCUGCUUUUCCCAAAGUCAUCCCCUCUAUCCAACCCCAACAGCAGUACAUGUCCCCAGUCCAGGGAAAACUCCACCCUCAUAGUGAUGUGGACUUUUGGGCUCAACAGGACACUCAUACAAUUCCAUACAACCAGUACAUAGUCUCAAAUCCAGGCUGGUCAGUUUAAAUAAAUGGUCACUAUGUGGCAUGAAAAGCCCAAUCCAGAUACACACAGAGGCACAUUGGAAACACAGUAGAAAACGGCUGCCAAUUUAAAACCAGAAGUUAAGAAGAGCAAACUCAAAUGUACAGCAAGAGAGCUUCAGACUGGACUAGCUUCCAGCAGAAGUGGAACUGGAAACCUUGGAUUCUAUUGCCUCUUCUCUGUGACAUGGGAAAAUAUGUCAGUAUCUGAACUUGAACUUGGUCAUUACUGCUCAUUUCCUAACCUUUUCCAAGCCACGUAACUCCCCUGAGGCUUAGUUUUCUCAUCUGUGAAUUGCGGGAUGAUAUAUUCAUGAGCUUGCUGUAAAGACUGAAUGAGAUAAUGUGUAUAGAAGUGCCAAGCAUGGCCUCUGGCAUACAAUAGGUGCUCAAUAAAUAUGAACUGGAAUACA